GUUCAAGUGAUGACAAUCAGAUAGGGACAAAUGAUCUAUGUGAUUAUUUUAUCUGGAUAGUAGAUAUCUGAUGAAC
rfam:Asian citrus Psyllid, Diaphorina citri - Florida Strain, whole genome shotgun sequence.